GGUGUUGCCUAGAACAAAUUGUAAAUUCUUUUGACAGCCCUGAGCUUUUCCAGGCAGGAACACCCCUCUCCCUCUGCUUUCCCUCUGCCUUACCCCCACACACCCCUCCUCUUAUUCCCUCUUACUGGAUCUGAUAGGAUGAACUCCAAGAAACAGAAACUAUCACUGCCUGGAAUCAAUGUUUCCCAAGGAGCAAAAUAAAGUUCCAACACCAGAAUCGAAGCCCCAGAGGUGGUCUUUGCUACUCAUUUCUUGCUGCUUCUGGAACUUCUCAGUGGACAGGAAAAACUGAAAAAAUGUGACUUCUACCCAUGUUCAAAAAGCAGACAGACCAAGAAUCUCGUGCCUUGUCUGAUGGAACCGAGAGAGAUUCUCACUGCCUUGCUGUGAGCUGUCUGUGAAGACGGUCUCCACACGUAGAUGGUGGACCUGGGGCUGCUUCCAGCUGAUAACCAGUAAGAAGCAGGUCUCCCAGUGGGAUAACCCUGAGAAAAGUUUUGCCAGCUCACCUAGUAAGCCUGGAGCCGGGCCAGACCUCCAGAAAGAAGACAUCCUGGCCACCACGUUGACUGCAGCCUUGUAAGACCUGCGAGAGGACCCCAAAAUCUGACUCAUGGAGCCUGAGAUAAUAAGUAGAUGUUGUUUAAAGUCGCUAAAUUAGAGGCAGUAGAAACCCCAAACAAUCAUGCUGUCUAAAGUCUACACUGAGUUAUUCCCAUCAUAUCUCUCUGUUGUACUUUGCACUGUGCAAUAUUUCAUGAUCUACAUGUUACCUAUUUUCCAUCACUAGAACGGAAGUGACCUGGAGAGAAUUUCUUGUUUGUCUCCUAGUUUUCUUUCCAGUAUGUAGAGCAGGGUUGAGGGACAUGUCUUUCCACAAGUGGAAAGACACAUGGAAGUUGUCCUUCCUUAUUCUCUCUGCCCUCACUCCUUUCCCCGGAGUUCAUUUCUGUUACCACCUUCAGUUCCAGUUGUAUUCAAUCAUGCAUAUACAUAUUCACAUAUGUAACAUUAAAGCACUCUAAUG
ensembl:lncRNA